rnacentral:rRNA from 1 species
UACGGAGGGGGCUAGCGUUGUUCGGAAUUACUGGGCGUAAAGCGCACGUAGGCGGCUUUGUAAGUUAGAGGUGAAAGCCUGAUGCUCAACAUCGGAAUUGCCUUUAAGACUGCAUCGCUUGAACGUCGGAGAGGUGAGUGGAAUUCCGAGUGUAGAGGUGAAAUUCGUAGAUAUUCGGAAGAACACCAGUGGCGAAGGCGGCUCACUGGACGACUGUUGACGCUGAGGUGCGAAAGCGUGGGGAGCAAACAGG